rnacentral:rRNA from 1 species
AUUGAACGCUGGCGGCAGGCCUAACACAUGCAAGUCGAACGGUAACAGGAAGAAGCUUGCUUCUUUGCUGACGAGUGGCGGACGGGUGAGUAAUGUCUGGGAAACUGCCUGAUGGAGGGGGAUAACUACUGGAAACGGUAGCUAAUACCGCAUAAUGUCGCAAGACCAAAGAGGGGGACCUUCUGGCCUCUUGCCAUCGGAUGUGCCCAGAUGGGAUUAGCUAGUAGGUGGGGUAACGGCUCACCUAGGCGACGAUCCCUAGCUGGUCUGAGAGGAUGACCAGCCACACUGGAACUGAGACACGGUCCAGACUCCUACGGGAGGCAGCAGUGGGGAAUAUUGCACAAUGGGGGCAAGCCUGAUGCAGCUAUGCCGCGUGUAUGAAGAAGGCCUUCGGGUUGUAAAGUACUUUCAGCGGGGAGGAAGGGAGUAAAGUUAAUACCUUUGCUCAUUGACGUUACCCGCAGAAGAAGCACCGGCUAACUCCGUG